rnacentral:rRNA from 1 species
AGAGCGAACGCUGGCGGCAUGCUUAACACAUGCAAGUCUGACGGGCAGCAAUGUCAGUGGCGGACGGGUGAGUAACGCGUAGGUAUCUAUCCUUGGGUGGGGGAUAACGUUGGGAAACUGACGCUAAUACCGCAUGACACCUGUGGGUCAAAGGCGCGAGUCGCCUGGGGAGGAGCCUGCGUACGAUUAGCUAGUUGGUGGGGUAAAGGCCUACCAAGGCUACGAUCGUUAGCUGGUCUGAGAGGAUGAUCAGCCACACUGGGACUGAGACACGGCCCAGACUCCUACGGGAGGCAGCAGUGGGGAAUAUUGGACAAUGGGCGAAAGCCUGAUCCAGCAAUGCCGCGUGUGUGAAGAAGGUCUUCGGAUUGUAAAGCACUUUCGGCGGGGACGAUGAUGACGGUACCCGCAGAAGAACGCCCCGGCUAACUUCGCGCCAGCAGCCGC